rnacentral:rRNA from 1 species
GACGUAGGGCGCGAGCGUUGUCCGGAUUUAUUGGGCGUAAAGAGCUCGUAGGCGGUUCGGCAAGUCGGAUGUGAAAUCUCCACGCUUAACGUGGAGGGGCCAUUCGAAACUGCCGUGACUCGAGUCCGGUAGGGGAGUUCGGAAUUCCCGGUGGAGCGGUGAAAUGCAUUGAGAUCGGAAAGAACACCAACGGCGAAAGCACUCUGCUGGGCCGACACUGACACUGAGAGACGAAAGCUAGGGGAGCAAAUGGG